rnacentral:rRNA from 1 species
AACGCUAGCUACAGGCUUAACACAUGCAAGUCGAGGGGCAGCAUGGUCUUAGCUUGCUAAGUUUGAUGGCGACCGGCGCACGGGUGAGUAACGCGUAUCCAACCUUCCGUUUACUCGGGUAUAGCCUUUCGAAAGAAAGAUUAAUCCCCGAUAGUAUGGUAAGAUUGCAUGAAAAUACCAUUAAAGAUUAAUCGGUAAACGAUGGGGAUGCGUUCCAUUAGGUAGUAGGCGGGGUAACGGCCCACCUAGCCAGCGAUGGAUAGGGGUUCUGAGAGGAAGGUCCCCCACAUUGGAACUGAGACACGGUCCAAACUCCUACGGGAGGCAGCAGUGAGGAAUAUUGGUCAAUGGGCGGAAGCCUGAACCAGCCAAGUAGCGUGAGGGACGACGGCCCUACGGGUUGUAAACCUCUUUUGCGCGGGGACAAAGUUCGCCAUGCGUGGCGUUUUGCGGGUACCGCGCGAAUAAGGACCGGCUAAUUCCGUGCCAGCAGCCGCGGUAAUACGGAAGGUCCUGGCGUUAUCCGGAUUCAUUGGGUUUAAAGGGAGCGCAGGCCGCCUGUUAAGCGUGCCGUGAAAUGUGCCGGCUCAACCGGGGCACUGCGGCGCGAACUGGCGGGCUUGAGUGCGCGGAAGGCGGGCGGAAUUCGUGGUGUAGCGGUGAAAUGCUUAGAUAUCACGAAGAACUCCGAUUG